CUCAGCUCGCGCUCGGGUGUCUGGACUACCACUGGACCACAUAAACUCGUCACUGCUCCGACUCCUCUGGAGCUAUAGAAUUACUAGUGUAAUUCUAGCUAUUUCUAUUAAGUAUGCAGAUGAGAACGUUAAAACGUCUUCUGGUCAGGCUAUUUUCUUACUCACAGCUUUCAGUCAGGUGACUGGAGCAGAGACCUGGAGGGCAAAACACCCACAGAACUGCAGGACAGGCCGGACAAUUUUCCAUCUGUUUCAAACAACAAAUAUUAUAUCGCGUCUCAAAAAAUAUGUGAGUAAAAUGCACGUCCAUAUACAGCACCUGCUGCAGUAUUUCAAUCACUAAACAGUAGAGUAUUCACUUUAAGUACCUUAAAGUAAUAAAACAGUGAGAUUAAAAGAUAAAUUUCUUUAUACAGUUUAUCUAUGAUGCAUACUACUGUAUAUACAGGCGAGCAGAUGAGCCCAGAAUAUGAACGCCACACACUAACUGGGCAAGCAGAUGAGCCUAGAACAUAAAUGCAAUGCCUACCGACAAACUCAAACUGUGCGUUGCAUUUAUGUUCUAGGCUCAUCUGCUUGCUCGACCUGUAUAUAUAGUAUGCAUCAUCAAAAAGGUGUAUAUUGAAUUUGGCCUUGUUUUACCCUCCAGGUGGGUGUUCCUAUAAAAACUAGCAAUGAAGGCAAUAUCAACACCAUACAACAGGCCCUGCUCUCCUCACCAAGAACAAUAUUUUCAGCACCCGAGCCAUCACGGGCAUGGAAAGGUCUUGACACCUUGCCAAGAGCUGGAUUUUUUGAGAUGUUGGGGGGACUACAGAGAAACUAUACACACAUUCAUUGAUGCCACAGCAUUUAAGUAAUUUCUCCUUUAAGAUUUCUGCAACACACCAAACAUGGAUGACAAGAGUGAAGGACAAGGUUAUGUCUCAUCAAUUUUAGGUCCCGGUCUAGUCCUGUCAUGUCAAGCUCCGAUCUGCCCUGUUCUCUGCCCAGUUUACCUGUGCCUGCAGUGCAACCCUCUCUGGUCCCAGAUGUCUACAGGUUUCAGACUCAUGCUUCAAGGUUUCUGCACUUGCAUCUCUCCUGGAUUUGUUGAUCAUUCCUGGACUCAUUCUGGUUACCAGUCUUUUCACGCGGCCUUCGACUAUGCUCACCUGUCAACCACUUUUGUUCAAUAAAUGUUCUGAACUGCCUUUGCUGUUUAUGUUUUAUUUAUUAAACAUAUAUAUGCUGUCACAUAUAAUACAUGCUAUUAUAAAUGCAUACCUUUUGAAGAAUAAUUAGAAUAUCAUAUGCAGUUUUAAUAAAGUUGAAUUAUGUAA